GGACACCGUAGUAGCUGCCGCUCGCGCGAGCCGUAGUUACUUUCGACGACGACGUGAGCCACGACUAUCCUUCGCGUACCGAUCCUGCUGACGGCAUUAUCUCUUCCUUCCUUCCUACCAGACUCGGCACUUGUUCAUACAAAAACUCUCUCCCGCCCUUUCUCUCUUUCUCGGCGAGGUGGUCUCCUUAGAUGCAGAAACGGCGGCGACAGCAGCGAUAGCCAGGAAUCAGCCCUGGGAUCUUUGAGAAGGUGCGAGCGACUCUCUCAGGAGAUCGCCGGCUGUUCAAGUGGAAUGAUCCGGGAAUGGAAUCCGCGUUGCAGGGGGAUCAAUUCCCGGUCGAUCGAUCGAUGUCCUCGAUAAUUCGAGUCGAGCUCGUAUUGCGCGCUUGGCGACCUAAUCGGCGGGAGGUGCUCCUCCGUAGGGAGUCGGCUCUCUACUAAACAAACGUGCGUCUAUAUUGGAGAUGCUGACUCAGCCACACCUGCUUCUAAAUACCCCCCACCCGCCGGACGGAAAGGAACGCCGCGGCGUAUACACGAGCCAAGAACAAAACGCGCUCUCCGCCUUGAUUCAUCCUCGAGAAUCUCGUGCCUGAUUUUUAUUUCGUCUCCUUUCGUCGGUCGUCCUCUCUCUCUCUCUCUCGUUUUCUCAUCUCCCGCUCCUCACCGAAUAGCCUUAUCUUCUCCUUCCCCUCCUCCUCUUUCUUCCUCUUCUUCUUCUUCCACCACCUCCUCUAAUGCUCCUCCACUAUUCGGUCUCUCUCUCUCUCUCUCUCUCUCUCUCUCUCUCUCUCCUCUUCAUCGUCCUCCCAUCGCCAUCGCUGCUGCCCGCCGUCCUCUUCGUCUGCCGCAACGUGCCAAUCAAAAGCGAGUCACACGUCCUACCGAUUAGUCGUCAGUUAAAUUUAGUGCACGCGCACAUCGCGCGGCUAUUGCGGCUGCUGUACGGGCCCUUUGCCAGGGUAACACCGGCUAAACUCCGUCUCUCGAUCGACGAACCCUCGAUGAAUAUAGCGUGUGAACCUCAUAACGACCUUUCCCACCGUCUCAUCGGCGAUCCCGCGUCGUCCAGCAGGCGAUCAUUUAUUCGCCUAACGGGGAUUCGCCACGCGCGAAAAUACAUCACUAUCGGAAGAAAGAUUAUUACUUUCGCUUUUCUCACACACACACGCACACACACAUACUCUCUCGCGCAUACAGCGACACGCGUCGCGGGGGCGUCGAGCGUCAACGCGAGCUUCGCGCGAAGAUCCUCGCGAUUCUCGAGAUAUUGCAGGAACGAGUGAAACGGCACAUGUGGUGCGGCAUGCGCAACCGAGCAGGACGGAGCUGAUCGCUCGCGCUGAUAUUAAACCGCUCCACUCUUUCGCUGUUCCGGCGCGCGGCAGAACAAUCGCUAAAUUGUGCUUUUACGGCGAUUACGCUGAUUCCGCGUUCGCAGAAACGCGUAUUAUGAGCAAUGCGGCGUGACGGAGACGCAAGAGAGCGAGCGAGCGAGCGAGAGAAAGAGAGAGAGAGAGAGAGAGAGAGGAGAUGCGGUCGAGGAAGGCGCCCGCCAUGUUACGAAUCUCCCAGGACGAAUCGGACGAGCUCGGCAAGUCCCAAGCAUUCUGCGCAUAGAGAGGACAUUUUAAGCGCAGCGAAUUUCUCGUCACGUGCCGUCGGUGCCGCCGCGCUUUGCAGGAUCGACGGUUUGGCGUAGUCUAAAUUACCGUCCGUGGCUCCGG